rnacentral:rRNA from 1 species
UCAGUUGAGAAUUGAAGUAAUUGUUAAUGGGUGUUACCUUUUGCCUCAUGAUUUAAUGAAUAGUAUCCCGUAAGGGUUUAAACGAAGCACUAAAAUUUAUUUGAUAUUACAGGCUCUUGUAGAGGUUAUUUAAUAGCAAAUGGUUUGUGAUACGUCAGUCGUUUAGUGGUAUAACUUAUUAGUAACGGAACAGAAUUAGUACUUAAUCAGCCAAGAUGUUGGUUAAGGGAGUGUAAGACUUAUUGGAAUUAAUAAUUUUUGGUCUCGAAGUAACCGUCAUUAAGGUGGUGUUGAAGCCCUUUAAAAUUUAAAACAGUCUUCCCGCAGAAGUUACUUACACUAAACUACUUAUAUGUGGCAGUAUGUUAUAAUAAGUAGUAAAAUCCCCACAAGGAUUCUCACCACCAUCCGAAAUGUUUAUUAAAAACAUUUCCUCACUCAUGCGUGUGAGGUAUAACCUGCUCGGUGAUAUUAAACAGCCGCAGUAUAUUGACUGUGCUAAGGUAGCAUAAUUACUUGUUCCCUAAUUAGGAAAUUGUUUGAAUGGUUGAUUUGGGUGGUUUGGUACCGAGUGGGGAAUAUAUGAAAUUAGUUUUGGGGUGCAGAAACCCCGAAUAACAUAAAAGACGGAAAGACCCCAAGAGCUUGAUUAAAGUUUAUUUGGGGCAAAGCUCGGUUUCCACCGAGAUUGUUGAACCUUUAAAGUUUAAUGGUUAAGCUACCUUGGGGAUAACAGGGUUAGAAAUAGGGAGAGCCCUUAUCAAUCUAUUUAGUUGCUACCUCGAUGUUGACUUAGGAGAGCUAUAGGGUGCAGCAGCUCUAUAAGCAGGCCUGUUCGGCCUUUAAAUUCCUUCAUGAGUUGAGUUAAGACCGGCGUGAGCCAGGUCGGUUCUUAUCUUUAUUGCUAUCCUCUUAGUACGAAAGGAUUGGGGGAUGUUUAAGUU